rnacentral:lncRNA from 1 species
UGCAUGUAAUACUUCAACUUAUGAUAAUGAUGCAUGCAAUGAUAAAAUAUUCAUGAUGAAAAAUUGUCUUGACAUUCAUAACUUGAUUAUUCAUCCUUUGUCAUGAUUUUGAAAUCGUUGUAAAAGGAAAAAGAACAACAAAACUGUAUUCUUCUUUUCUUUUUGACAAUGACAAAGGGGGAGAAAUAUUGCUUGCUCAAGAUGCAAAAUUUGAAAACUUACACAUUGCAAAAGAAGCAAAAC